rnacentral:tRNA from 1 species
GCGGGUUUAGUUUAGUGGUAAAAUAAAAGGCUUCCGAUCUUUUGCCGUGGGUUCGAUUCCCACAACCCGCUCCA